AUUGAACGCUGGCGGCAGGCCUAACACAUGCAAGUCGAGCGAGCGGCGGACGGGUGAGUAAUGUCUGGGAAACUGCCUGAUGGAGGGGGAUAACUACUGGAAACGGUAGCUAAUACCGCAUACCAUCAGAUGUUACCAGAUGGGAUUCGCUAGUAGGUAGGGUAACGGCGUACCAAGGCGACGAUCCCUAGCUGGUCUGAGAGGAUGACCAGCCACACUGGAACUGAGACACGGUCCAUACUCCUACGGGAGGCAGCAGUGGGGAAUAUUGCACAAUGGGCGAAAGCCUGACGCAGCCAUGCCGCGUGUGUGAAGAAGGCCUUCGGGUCGUAAAGCACUUUCAGUGGGGAGGCGUUACCCGAAGAAGAAGCAACGGCUAACUCCGUGCCAGCAGCCGCGGUAAUAC
rnacentral:rRNA from 1 species